rnacentral:rRNA from 1 species
CAGCAGCCGCGGUAAUACGAAGGGUGCAAGCGUUACUCGGAAUUACUGGGCGUAAAGCGUGCGUAGGUGGUGGUUUAAGUCCGUUGUGAAAGCCCUGGGCUCAACCUGGGAAUUGCAGUGGAUACUGGCAAGCUAGAGUGUGUCAGAGGAUGGUGGAAUUCCCGGUGUAGCGGUGAAAUGCGUAGAGAUCGGGAGGAACAUCAGUGGCGAAGGCGGCCAUCUGGGACAACACUGACGCUGAGGCACGAAAGCGUGGGGAGCAAACAGGAUUAGAUACCCGCGUAGUCCCUGUCUCUUAUAC